UCUAUCUUCAUAAAAACUCCACCGCUCCCCACCUUCACCACCGUCCUCUGCCGUUGUUUGGCGAGACCAAACAACAUGCAAUCACUCCAUCUUCUUCCUCUUGUCUUCCUCUACACAUCUAUGCCCAUUAAUCAUCAACUCAGCCCAAGCUACUAAUUGGACAAAAAAAAGCAUCAACCUUGAACCUCCAUCGAAUCUGACUUGGAAUUUAGACUCCGGCAGCUUCUCUGAUUUCUUCUAGGUGAGGCGAGUUUGGGGGCAACCCAGAGACUUAUGGGAAGUAGCAGAAGGCGACAUGAUAUGGAGCUGCAGCUGUGGUGACGUGAGUGUGAGGCAGAGAGGAACCGCAACAACACCGAAGCGAUUUUCUUUUCGAUUGAGGACUUCAUCGCUAUUGGAGCACAUGGAUCGAAGUACGAAACGUGGACUUUGACGCUGCUAUAUCACGUAAGGGGAGCCACCCGUUAGGGUGAGCCGCUCUCUUUCGGGUACCUUAGUUCGAACUUAGAGGAGCCGAUCUACAAGUUAGACGUGGCAGCAUAUAGCAUUCCUUGUUCAACAUUCAUGGUUCAUUGAUCGAGUUCACCUCCGAGGAGUUAUUUGUUUGCUCGAUGGUAUAAUUGUUUUCUUUGAUCUCCGAACUGUUAUAAUAAUUUGUUGGGUUGCAUCCUUGUUUCUGAGACUUAAGUUCUAUUUUCUUAUAUCCUUAAGUCUCAUGCCACCUUCCAUAAAUUUUAAAAUGGGUUGUUUGUUUGUAAAUUGUCAACUC